rnacentral:rRNA from 1 species
UUAAAUUGAAGAGUUUGAUCAUGGCUCAGAUUGAACGCUGGCGGCAGGCCUAACACAUGCAAGUCGAACGGUAACAGGAAGCAGCUUGCUGCUUUGCUGACGAGUGGCGGACGGGUGAGUAAUGUCUGGGAAACUGCCCGAUGGAGGGGGAU